rnacentral:misc_RNA from 1 species
AAGUCGUAACAAGGUUUCCGUAGGUGAACCUGCGGAAGGAUCAUUAUUGAAUAAACUUGGUUGAGCUGUUGCUGGCUUUUCGAAGCAUGUGCACGCUUGAUCCAUUUUUAUAACCACCUGUGCACCUGUGUAGAUCUGAGAGACUCGAGGAAAACUCGGUUUGAGAAUUGCGACGCGAAAGCACGCUAUUCUUUCUCUUCGGAUCUAUGUUUUCAAUUAUACCCCAUAGAAAAAGUAUAUGAAUGUCUUAACAGGCCUUUUGUGCCUUUAAAACCUAAUACAACUUUCAACAACGGAUCUCUUGGCUCUC